GUCUCUGUGGCGCAAUCGGUUAGCGCGUUCGGCUGUUAACCGAAAGGUUGGUGGUGGUUGGUGGUUCGAGCCCACCCAGGGACG